CAAGUCGCUUAGUCUCUAGUCUCUCUGAACCUCUGGUUCCUCACACAUUGCAAGAGACAAAUAUUUUCCAGAAUAAAUAAUAUACUUAUUAUUAAUGAUUUAAUAUUAAUACAUUUCACAUUGAUACACAGCAUGUACAUGAGAAGAGGCUCCAAAGCAGCAUAAAGUGAUGUGCAAACGUAAUAAAUGGGCAGCAUGUGUCACUUCAUAGUAACUGCAGCACUCAGUGACAGACAAGAGAAAGGUGACACACAUCCCCAGAGACUAAGUAUGACUCAGCAUGGCCAGGUCGUGGAAUUUUCCCAAAGCCUCGUUGUGAUGUCAUGGUGGAUGUCAUCAGGAAAGGAGCUGCCACAGAAGCAGUCAGGCCCUUCCACACACAGGCAGUGGAAAUGUACUCCCAGCUGUCCCGUGCCCUCCCGGCCCCACCUCUUUCUCUGGCCUCGAGGCAUAUCAGGACAAGGAGGUAACACAAGAGUAGGAAACCCGAGGUAGUGCUGGGAGUACCUGGGGUAACGCCUUCAGGCAUAACACUUAACAACACAACAAAGGGCCACAUCCAUGUCCCCCCAGGAGAAAGCUGAAGAGGAGGGGAGGGUGACAAGCUUAGACUACAGAGCCUUAGUCCCUAGGCAAAGCUCAAGUCAGCAGUGCCUUGGGAACUGAGGAGCCAAACAAGCUUUGACAAAUUACAUAACCUGGAAGAAGAGGUCCCUUCUUGGUGACUGAUUUUCCCUCUCUAUUGAUGGAUCUAAGGGAAGACAUCAAUAAAAUAUGGCAAUUUUAAAAGAAGAAUAAACAAUGGGAUCAGCAUCUUGGAUUCUGCUAAGCAGCCUUCUCUAGGCUUCAGUUUCUUCAGUUCCAUAAGACAAGUGGUUUGGGGGGAACCUUCCCCAACAUGCCCACCUCUCAUUGUAGGGAUGCAAGUAAGAGAAAUAACAUCCAACUCUAGCAGCCAAGAAUAAGAGGACAGAGCAAGCAGAGAGAGAACAAGGGGGUGAAACUCGUGGAGGGUGGAGUUCUUCCACGUUACGGCCAUUCCCACCAUGAGCCCAUUGCCCUUACUCAAUGGUAGCACGCAGACGGCACCUGCUGGCCCAAGACCUAGCUCCAAGGGAGGACUGCGGGAAAUCUCACACAGGAAACCAGCUCCUGCGUCAUGAAGGGUCGUCAGAGGAAAACCCCCACAUAAUGGGUGGAAAACCGAGAAAAACUCCUAUACCAAGGAAUCCCCACUCAGCACUGGAUAUGAGCUCUGGAGAAAGUUGUCCCUGAGCCACAAAGUCCCCAAGGCCACAGCGGGCCUGAAGGGAAGAGCAUUAUUGUUGUCACAAAUGCUGGGAGAGCACCUGGUUCCCUGGCUCGGCUGCUCCUGCAGACCAGCAGGGGGAGAGGGGACUGGACUAGCAGGGGACCGGCGGGAGGGCUGUGGAAUUUAGGCUGAGGGGAGGCCACUGAAUCUCCCAGGCACCUGCCACCAUGGAAAUCCAUGUUGGGGGAACUGUAAAAGCAGUAGAGGCCGGACGCGCUGGCUCACACCUGUAAUCCCAGCAUCUGGGGAGGCCGAAGAGGGCGGAUCACCUGAGGUCAGGAGUUCGAGACCAGCCUGACCAACAUGGACAAGAUAAGAAGCAAGGCCCUGCAGAAAACAAAGUCAACAAGAACAAGAGCAGAGGGGGGACCGUGAGAAGUGAGUUUGGGGUAACAGUGACUAAUCUCACUAUGGGGGCUGACACAGAAGAGGGUACCUGCGGAGGCAAAUGGAAGAAAGAGCCCAACAGGUGGAAUCAUAUUAGAGAGUCUUGAACGCCAAGAUGAAGCAAGCUUUUCAUUCGAGGGUAUAUGAAGACUCAGGCCCCACCCAUGGAGGGUAGAACACACAUUUGCUGAAGACUUUAUGUGCUGGGCUGACUCAACUGGGCUGGAUUCCAGGCCCAUCACUGACUAUGCUUCUGUCAUUUCAACGGAGAGAAGAGGAAAUGAGGAUAAGUUCCAGAGGGAUGCAAGGGUGAAGUGCACUCACAAAGCCAGCUGCCACAUAGUGAGAUGGUCUUUGGAGAGGCCCAAGUAGCAGCAAUCAACCAUCAACAAACAGAAGCCCUCAGUCCCACAAUCCGAAAAGAAUUGAAUUAUGCAAACAACCACAAGAAUGAGCUUGGAAGCAGAUUCACCCCAGAAGGACCUGGAGAAGAGUUGACUGUAGCCUCCGAGAGAUCCGAGCCAGAGACCUGCUAAGCCACGCCCCCAUUCCUGACCCACAGAAACCAGGAUAAUAAAUGUGUGUUGUUUUAAGUCUCUAAGUUUUGGGGUAAUUUGUUAGAUAGCAAUAGACAACUAACAGUCUCCAAUAUUUAAUGCCAGUUAUUUACUGUGUUGGGUCGUGGGGACAUUAAGGUGUUCUUUUAGCCUUCAAGGGGUACCUAGUCUGGUGAGGUAAGGCAGACAUGUGUGAUUGUGUUACUGUGUGUAUUGGGUCAUUGGGUGGGCUGGAGAGGGGACUGCCUAUCUUACACAGCCUGGAGGUGUCAGGGCAGGCUUUUUGGGGAGGUGUCACUCACAAAGCAGAAUUUUGAAAGGUGAGUAAGAGCUUGCCAGUUGCUAUAGUUUGAAUGUCUGUUCCAAAACUCAUGUCGAACUAUAAUUGCCAUUAUGACAGUAUCAAGAGGUGAUUAGGUGACUGGAUUACUGCAAUUAUCAGGAAGUGGGUUCUUGAUAAAAGUGAGUUCAACCCCCUCUUGUCCUUGCUCACGUUUACUUUCUCUUACCCUUCCACCUUCUGCCAUGGGAUGACAUAGCACGAAGGCCCACAUCGGAGGCUGAUGCCAUUCUUUUGGACUUCCCAGCCUCCAGAACCAUGAAUCAAAUGAACAGUUGUUUAGAAAUUAACCUGUCUCUGUUACAGCAACACUAAUCAGCCUAAGAUACCAGGUGAAGAAGGCAGAGAAGCAGUGAGGAGGGAAGGAGGAGAACACAGAUUUUCUCCCUCUCCUCAGUGGAUUUGGGAAGUUGUUUUAAGACUGCAUCCUUGGCAAGAGGGUACUCCGCAGCUAUGUGCUUGACGCAAGAGUGAGUGAUUCAUCCCACCACAUCUCAAAAGUCUGUGAGUCAGCCAGUUCUUCCUGGGCUCAGACCUUUGUGAGAGUGGGGAUUUGAGUUGACUACGUGUGUUGAAGUGAGGGCGUUGAAGAUUGUGUAAUGGUUUUGUUGCUUUUUAACCAGGGUCAGGAUUGACCUUUGGUGUGUUGUCAGGGUUGAAAUUAAAAGGUCUGGGUACAAAUCAGAGCCAGUGUUUGGGACAGGCUGGGGCAGAAGGUCAGG
rnacentral:lncRNA from 1 species